GGUAGCCAAAAAUUUUAAAUGGAUUCAAUGUUGGGUGAGCAAUAACUCGCAUAUCCCCACCAACACCAGCCCCAGGAUCGAAAAGCCCACCCCAAAACAUUGCUUUGGCAACUAGAAGUAAAGCACCGACGCCCAGCAAUGUCAGGUGAAUCCCUAAAAUUGUGGUCAUUUUGUCCUUGUCUUUCCA
rnacentral:antisense_RNA from 1 species